AUGGCGGCGGUGGUGGCCACCAUGGUGGUCGGACCACUGCUCAAAAUCGUGAUGGGGAAGGCGUCCAACUACCUCCUUGACAAGUACAGGGUGUUGAAGGGCAUGGAGGAGCAACAUGAGAUCCUGAUGCGCAAACUGCCUGCCAUCCUGGACAUCAUCACCGAUGCCGAGCAGGCGGCAGCCCAAAGAGAAGGGGCAGCGGCCUGGCUCCAGGCCGUCAAGAAGGUGGCUUACGAGGUGAAUGAAGUCUUCGACGAGUUCAAGUACGAGGCACUUCGUCGUGAAGCAAAAAGGAAGGGGCACUACAAGGAGCUUGGCUUCGAUGUGGUAAAACUCUUUCCCACUCACAACCGUUUUGUAUUCUGUAACAGGAUGGGAAGAAAGCUCUGCAAGAUUGUGCAGGCCAUCGAGGUCCUUGUGACUGAAAUGAAUGCCUUUGGCUUUAAGUAUCAACAACAACCACCGAAGCACUUUGAUUUGCUGCUAUGGGUGUGUGUCUCUAACAACUUUGAUGUGGAUUCUCUGACUACAAGAAUAGUUGAAGCAGCUCCUGAGAAGAAGGAUGAUGGCACAAAAGAAACCGCUUCCAAGAAGAAGAAAACACCACUGGAUAAACUUCAGGAUUUGGUCAGCGGGCAAAGGUACCUCCUUGUACUUGAUGAUGUCUGGAAUAAAGAGGUUUAUAAAUGGAAACAGCUUAAGGCCCGACUUCAACAUGGUGGCAUGGGUAGUGUGGUUUUGAAAAUAACUCGUGAUGGUGGAGUUGCAGAAAUGAUGCGUACUGUUGAAGCAUAUAAUCUCACAGCUUUGAAAGAUCAAUACAUAAAGGAAAUUAUCAAGACAACAGCAUUCAGCCAAUUCAAGAAGGAAGAGGAAAGGUCUGCUGAGUUGGUGAAUAUGGUUGAUAAGAUUGUGGGGAGAUGUUCUGGCUCUCCUUUAGCUGCAACAGCACUGGGCUGCAUGCUGUCUACCAAGACCAGUAAGGAGGAAUGGGAGACUGUAUUAAGCAGAAGCAGCAUUUGCACCGAGGAGAAUGGAAUCUUACCAAUACUCAAGCUCAGUUACAACGACUUGUCGCCGCGUAUGAAGCAAUGUUUUGCUUUUUGUGCAAUAUUUCCCAAAUAUCACAAGAUUGAUGUGGACAAGUUGAUCCAACUAUGGAUUGCACAUGGCUUCAUCCAGGAAAAGCAAGUUCGUCUUGAAACCAUUGGCAAACAGAUUUUCAAUGAGCUGGCCUCAAGGUCAUUCUUUCAGGAUGUGGAACAAGUCCAAGCCACGGUCAAGGAAGUUGAAGACACCUGGUCGUGUUAUUCCAGAACUACAUGUAAAAUUCACGAUCUUAUGCACGAUGUUGCACUGUCUGUAAUGGGAAAGGAAUGUGUCUUGGCAACUGAGGAACAAGGCAAAAUUGAAUCUGUUGUCGCAACAGAGGAAACAAGUCAGAAGCUUAAGUGCAUGCCCACAGACCUCAGGAAACUCACAUCCCUUCAGAGACUUACAUGCUUUGUAGCAGGUAGUGACCCUAAUUGUAGUAAGGUUGGAGAGCUUGGAAAUUUAAACCUUGGUGGUCAACUAAAGCUACGUAAUCUGGCAAACGUGACAGAAGUGGAUGCAAAAGCAGCAAACCUUGUGAACAAGGAGCUAAGAGAACUGAGAUUAACAUGGACCUUCGGAUGGAAUUAUUAUAAAUAUAAUACUAGCUGCCGGGAUAAUGAAGAGGAUGCAAAAGUGCUCGAGAAUCUCAAACAUCAUGAUGGACUACAUGCCAUAGGGAUAGAGUCAUAUGGAGCCACCACCUUCCCAACAUGGAUGACUAUGUUGCAAAACAUUGUUGAGAUCCAUCUUUUCAGCUGUACAAAACUAGUAUGGUUGUUCAGCGGUGAGUGUGAUACAUCGUUUGCAUUUCCAAAUUUGAAGGAGCUUAUGCUAAACAGUCUUGUUUGUUUGGAGAGAUGGUGGGAAAUAGAUAAUGAUGGGAUGCAAGGAGAGGUGAUGAUGUUUCCUCUACUUGAGAAGCUGCAUAUUAGCAACUGUGUAAAGUUGAAAGCAUUGCCAGGACAUCCGACCUUCCCUAAGCUAUCCAUUGAACAGAGUACAACCUCAACGGGGGCUGAGAAUAGUUUGAGGGAAGUGGUGAACAUCAAGGAGAAUGGGAAUGCUCAAGACUUUCCUCUAGAAGUUUUGGUGUUAAAAGACUUUAAGUCAGAAAAAUUGUUCGAAGGAUUGGUAUCCUUGAGGAAGCUUCAUAUUUGGCAAUGCAAUAAUUUGACUGGAUUUGCACAAGCUUCUGCUGAGCCAUCAACAUCAUCAGAAACCAGUCAGCUCCUGCCACGUCUAGAAUCUCUGAUGAUAUGGAGCUGUGAAAACUUGGUUGAGCUCUUCAACGUCCCUGCAUCUCUCAGGACAAUGACCAUUAAUAAUUGCAGUAAGCUUGAGUCCAUAUCCGGCAUGAAGCUGCAGCAGGGACAGUCAAUAUCAUGGAUUCAUCAAGGGUCAUCCAGGAUAGAAGAAAUAUUAUUACACCACUGUGAUGGCUUAACAGGGGUUCUCUAUUUUCCCCCGUCCCUCAAGAGACUAGACAUUGCUGACUGUGAUGGGUUGACAUCUCUGGAAUCCUGCUCUCCUGAGCUCCAAUCCUUGAAGUUCCUCCAGCUUUGGGAUUGCAAGACCCCGGAAUCCCUACCGGAUGUGCCGCAAGCAUACUCAUCUCUCCAAUAUCUUUCCAUUAGACGCUGCCCUGGUCUGAAGACGCUCCCUGCAAGCCUGCAGCAACGCCUUGGCAGCAUCCAUGACAAAUACGUAGAUGCCCAUCUUUAUGGAAAUAAGCCAAGGCCUAUGCCUAUGCUGCUGAAGCCCAAGACAUGGAACAUCCCAGUCCCAACGGCUAGCUUGUCAAUGCCCAUCUCACUCAACCCUUCUUCUCAGUUCUGCUUCCCCAUUGCCCACAGCCUCACAAGCAUGUGUUCCUCCAAUCCCCAGCUUAGCUCCGCACCUCAGACGUCACACCACACCACCAACCAGAUGCCACCGCUUCCUCUCAUCUGUUGCCCGGAGUGCAAUGCGGGCUACAUGAUCUAUACGGUGGAUGCAGUUGUUGGAAGUGGGAGAACAACAAGCCAGUUAAUGUGCAACUCCGACGUCCCACUAGAGGAGCCAGAUCCAGAGCUCUCCCCGGCAAAUGUUGGAACGCUGGGGGAUUGA
rnacentral:rRNA from 1 species